UCCAGACUGAGACAGAGGUUUUCCCAGCCUAGUUGACCAGCAGAGCACUGCGAAGUGAGGACCAAUGCCUUAGAGUCGACGACAGCACAGCCUGACCCGUCAGCCGACAGAGCUGCUUUGACACGAAAGAGCCAGGAAACCCUGUGCAGACAGUUUCUUCCUUUUUUUGUACAUAUGUUGUUUAUGCUAAUAUUAUAAUAUAUAUAUAUAUAUAUUUUUGGUAUAUUGUAUGAUGUUCCAAAAAAAUAAACAGGCACAUGUGACAAAUUGUGUUGUCAUUAUUUGUGCAGCUUGUAAAGAGGUAAAUGUAAUGUUUGGAUUGUUUAUGCUGUGAGUAUAAAGAAAAGGCCUUGAACAUUUAAAGG